rnacentral:pre_miRNA from 1 species
GGCUCCAAGCAGGAUGCACUGUCAGCAAAAGUAUUGAAAAAGCUCCUAGCUGGAUGCCCUUUUCAGUAGUGUUGGUGACAGUGCAUCCUACUUGGGGUA